GUGAAUCAUCGAAUCUUUGAACGCAAAUUGCACUCUCUUCGGAGAGUAAGCCUGUUUGAGGGUCAGCCUAAAAAAAAUUGAAAUAGUCGCUGUUUCGCGGUUACAUUCGUGGGAAAUUGGAUCCGCUUAGACCUUUCUGUUUUAAGCGGCUUAAAAUUUUCUUUUCGAUUCUACCAACGUUUCUAAGAUUUACUUACACGUUUAUGGGAUCGAUUUUAUUU
rnacentral:misc_RNA from 1 species